rnacentral:rRNA from 1 species
UACCCUUUGGUUCGGAAUAACUCAGGGAAACUUGAGCUAAUACCGGAUACGUCCGUAAGGAGAAAGAUUUAUCGCCAAAGGAUUGGCCCGCGUCCGAUUAGCUAGUUGGUGAGGUAACGGCUCACCAAGGCUACGAUCGGUAGCUGGUCUGAGAGGAUGAUCAGCCACAUUGGGACUGAGACACGGCCCAAACUCCUACGGGAGGCAGCAGUGGGGAAUAUUGGACAAUGGGCGCAAGCCUGAUCCAGCCAUGCCGCGUGAGUGAUGAAGGCCUUAGGGUUGUAAAGCUCUUUUGUCCGGGAAGAUAAUGACUGUACCGGAAGAAUAAGCCCCGGCUAACUUCGUGCCAGCAGCCGCGGUAAUACGAAGGGGGCUAGCGCUGUUCGGAAUCACUGGGCGUAAAGCGCACGUAGGCGGACCGUUAAGUCGGAGGUGAAAGCCUGGGGCUCAACCCCAGAACUGCCUUCGAUACUGGCGGUCUUGAGUAUGGUAGAGGUUGGUGGGACUCCGAGUGUAGAGGUGAAAUUCGUAGAUAUUCGGAAGAACACCAGUGGCGAANNNGGCCAACUGGACCAUUACUGACGCUGAGGUGCGAAAGCGUGGGGAGCAAACA